UACGGGGGGGUGCGAGCGUUGUCCGGAAUCACUGGGCGUAAAGGGCGCGUAGGUGGCCUGAUAAGGGUGUGGUGAAAGUCCGGGGCUCAACCCCGGAUCUGCCGUGCCGACUGUUAGGCUAGAGUACUGUAGGGGCAGGCGGAAUUCCGGGUGUAGCGGUGGAAUGCGUAGAGAUCCGGAGGAAGACCGGUGGCGAAGGCGGCCUGCUGGGCAGUUACUGACACUGAGGCGCGACAGCGUGGGGAGCAAACAGGG
rnacentral:rRNA from 1 species